UGAUCCUGGCUCAGGACGAACGCUGGCGGCGUGCUUAACACAUGCAAGUCGAGCGGAAAGGCCCUUCGGGGUACUCGAGCGGCGAACGGGUGAGUAACACGUGAGUAACCUGUCCUUGGCUUUGGGAUAACCCUCGGAAACGGGGGCUAAUACCGGAUAU
rnacentral:rRNA from 1 species